GGCCACCGCGGGCCCACAGACUCCGCACCUGGGUCCGGCAUGGUCCGGGCUCGAAGGUAUUCGCUGGCCGUGGGUACUGACGAGAGCGUCUGAGCGUUCAAAACCCGAACAGUGUGCGUUCUCCUGCGUGGUCUUCACAAUAGUCCAAACUAAUAUGGUCCCAUUUCACAGACAGUAAAACUGAGCGUAGAGCCUGAAGCUCGCUUGGCAGUGUUAGACCCACACCCGGAUCAGUCCGGUUGGAAAUGCCUCAGGACAAACCCAGCUCCGCUCCCCAUCCUGGAUGUUUUCCUAUGCAGCUUUUGUGCGCUUCUAUCAUCGGCUAACAACUGGAGACUUCAGCCAAGUAGGGCUUCAAAUUCCCUUCCGAUUCACCGGCAGCAAAGCUGUUCGCAAGCCUUUUGUUUGUUUGUUUUGUUUUGUUUCUGAGACAGGGACUUGCUGGGUAGUGAAGGCUGGCCUUACAGGAGAUCCUCCUGCCUCAGCCUCCCAAAUGCUGGAACUACAGUGAGUACCACCACACCCUAUUUUUUGCAAAUAAAUCUAGUGUCAUCCUUGGAAACUUUUUUUUUUUUUUUUUUUGGUUUUGUUUUUUCUCCGGUACUGGGAAUCGAACUCACGACCUUGCGCUUGCCAGGCAGGCGCUGUGCCGAUGAGCUAAAUCCCCAGCCCCUGGAAACUUUUAUUUUGUACCUGGAAUCAAACUCAGGAUCUUGCCAUUGCCAGGCAGGCACUUGUGCCACUGACCUACAUCCCCAGACCCUGGAAACUUCUUAAUACAAUUUUUGAAUCUAGUUACCAGAGC
rnacentral:lncRNA from 1 species